CCUACGGGUGGCAGCAGUGGGGAAUAUUGGAUAAUGGGCGAAAGCCUGAUCCAGCCAUGCCGCGUGUGUGAAGAAGGCCUUCGGGUUGUAAAGCACUUUCAGUGGGGAAGAAAGCCUUGGGGCUAAUACCCUCGAGGAAGGACAUCACCCACAGAAGAAGCACCGGCUAACUCCGUGCCAGCAGCCGCGGUAAUACGGAGGGUGCGAGCGUUAAUCGGAAUUACUGGGCGUAAAGCGCGCGUAGGCGGUCUGAUAAGCCGGUUGUGAAAGCCCCGGGCUCAACCUGGGAACGGCAUCCGGAACUGUCAGGCUAGAGUGCAGGAGAGGAAGGUAGAAUUCCCGGUGUAGCGGUGAAAUGCGUAGAGAUCGGGAGGAAUACCAGUGGCGAAGGCGGCCUUCUGGACUGACACUGACGCUGAGGUGCGAAAGCGUGGGUAGCAAACAGGAUUAGAUACCCCGGUAGUC
rnacentral:rRNA from 1 species